CUGUGAUUCCACUGAGCCCACCCAGAUCAUCCAGGAUCACUCUCCAUCUUUUAAGAUCCUUAACUUAUCACAUCUGCAAAUUACCUUUGGCAUGUAAGGUCCAUCCAUGUUGUCAUCAACAUGUCCCCAGUGGGGCAUAGAUUCCAGACCAAUCUGACAACUGCAAGGCCUUGGUGUCCCAAGCCUCCACUGUGGCUAGGAACAUCAAGACUGCCCCAGGCUUGUGGAGCCCUUUGGAGCCUGUUCCAGUUCUUAUUACACGUCAUAAGAUGGGCAUCUGUGAUUGGAAUCCACCAAUCGCAGUGAACUGACACUGAAGGAAGUAGAAACCGCUAACCUAGCUCAUCUUCUCCAACACUUUGAGACAAGACAGGUAUCAGUCCCCACAAC